UACGGAGGGUGCAAACGUUGCUCGGAAUCAUUGGGCGUAAAGCGCACGUAGGCGGCCGACUAAGUCGGGUGUGAAAGCCCUGGGCUCAACCCAGGAAGUGCACUCGAAACUGGACGGCUUGAAUAUGGAAGAGGGUUGCGGAAUUCCCGGUGUAGAGGUGAAAUUCGUAGAUAUCGGGAGGAACACCAGUGGCGAAGGUGGCAACCUGGGCCAAUAUUGACGCUGAGGUGCGAAAGCGUGGGGAGCAAACAGG
rnacentral:rRNA from 1 species